rnacentral:lncRNA from 1 species
AUGCGUUGUGUGAUGCGCUGUGUAUGUAUGAUGUGUUGUGUGUCUGUGAUGUGUUGUGUGUGUCAUGUGCUGUGUGUCUGUGAUGUGCUGUGUGUCUGUGUGAUGUGUUGUUGUGUGCGUGAUGUGCUGUGUGUCUGUGUGACAUGUCAGGUGGCGAGCUCUGGGGCUCCCCCUCCCACGACCCUGGGAAGCAGCCUCUUGCUCCAUCUUUCAGAGACCCGCGGGCCGGUGGCGACGGCACGGAGUGCCCGGGUUCACAGUGCAGCUUGUCGCUCGUGUACAUCUUGCAGGUGGCUCUUCCUCCACAUCACGGCUAGGGUCUCCAAGAUGAUGCGGUGGAGAAUCCUCCAGGUUCGCGGAAAAUCUCACUUUGCUUGCUUCUCCUGCUCAAUGGUCUCUUUGGUCGGCAGGGUGUUCUUCUCCUGCGUCUCAGUCUUCUUCAGCUUGGCCUUAUUGAAGCUGUUGAUUUCCCCCAUGUCGGGCUUGUCUGCCAUUUUCUUAAAACAAUCCGAGAAGUUCUGCUUCCAGACCGAGGUCCCGGGGUACCCACUCGCGUUGCUGCAGCAAAAGACCUCUUUUUUUUUUUUAAUCAGCAUUUUGUGGCCUUCAGCAUACAAAGUCUGUACAUUCUCUGUUUGACUUACAUCUAAGUAUUUCACUUUUUCGAGUGAUUAAAAUGUGUGAUGUUUUUAAUUUUAGUGUCCACAUGCUCACUGCUAGUGCACAGAAACAGUACAGUUGAUUUUUGAAUGUUUACCUUAUAUGCUGUGACCUUUCAGAACUCACUUCUAAGUCGUGGGAGGCUUUUCUUUUCUUCUCUGUGGAUUCUUUGGAGCGCCUUUGCGUUUUCUGUGGACACAGUCAUGCCGUCUGCAGGCUGCCUUAUUCGUUCCUUCCUGGACUCCUGCUUUCUCGCGUCGCUGCAGUGGCUGGAACUUCCAGGACAAUGCUGAGUGGGGUGGAGUCAGCGGGCAUCCUCCCCUUGUUCUGGGCCGCAGCCUUUCCACUAGGUAUGGUGCUAACUGUAUGGUUCUUCUGGUCGAUGCUCUUUGAGGAAGUUUCUUCUAUUCCUAUUUUUCGUNNNNNNNNNNNNNNNNNNNNNNNNNNNNNNNNNNNNNNNNNNNNNNNNNNNNNNNNNNNNNNNNNNNNNNNNNNNNNNNNNNNNNNNNNNNNNNNNNNNNCUGAGUGGUUUUCAAGUACUGAACCAUGUAUCCCUGAACUCACAUCCCUAGAAUACCCCUACUUGGUGUAUAACUGUUUUUACACGUCAGUUUAAAAACAUCUGUUUGUUUGCAUCUGUUUGUUAAGGGCUUUUGCCUUUAUCCUUGUGAGGAACACUGACCUAUAGGCGUAUUUGUUGCAGUAUCUUUGGUUUGGGCAUCAGGGUAAUAACAGCUUCAUAAAAUGGUUUGGGAAGUGUUCACUUCUGUGCUUGGAAUAGACCGUGUGGACCUGGCAUUAGUCCCUCUUAACAUGCUCAGCAGAGCUCCCAGGCAAAACCGUCGGGGCCUGGAGAUUCAGGGAGUGUCAACUUGCAGAUUCAAUCACCUCAGCAGCUACGGGGCUAUUCAAGGUCUAUUUCGUCUUGGUGAGCUGAGGUAGCUGAUGUCUUUGAGGGAGCUGAUGCCCACUCCGUCUGAGCCGUCGCAGGUCAGGGGCCAUCUGUGGUGUGCCACCUCCCUUUCGGUGCCUGCAGGGUCUGCGGGCGCGCCCCGCCCUUCCUGACGGUAGUUUGUGCCUCCCUGCACGUUCUGCUCUCAGCGAGUUUCUCGGUUCCCCUGGUCUCUCCGAGAGCCGGUCCGUCUCGCGCUGGUUUCCUUCCCGCUUUUCCGUCCGCACGUCGUUGACUUCCGCUCUCCGCUUGCCCGCUUCCUUCUUUCCGCUCUGGGUCUGGUUCGCUGUCCGUCUCCUUGGCGCUUGAGGUGCGAGCUCAGAUCACCGCGUUGAGACGUCACUGCGUUUCCAGCUCUCAGCACACAGUCCUGUACUCGCUUUGUUAGACUGACAACUACUUCAUCGCUCGCUGAUUGUUGGAGGGAAGGUGGACAAUGGCCAAGUCCCAGCGCUUCCUGAGGCCUCCUUGGGCCCCGCCCCUGCUGGGGGACGGGCGUCUCGAGGCCGGGAGGCCGGGGGUCACAGGCCGGCUGCUCAGCCUUCUCCGCCAGCACCUGGAGCGGCAGGCUGCCUUCCCCUCGUCCUGCCCCUCUAGCUCCCGCGUCUGGGCCUCCCCCCGGCCUGUGCCGAUGCCCCUCCUCCCCCCCC